UUGCUAGGUGGGUGGCGAGUGGCGCACGGGUGAGUAACGCGUAGGAAUAUGCCUUAAAGAGGGGGAUAACUUGGGGAAACUCAAGCUAAUACCGCAUAAACUCUGAGGAGCGAAGCUGGGGACCUUAGGGCCUGGCGCUUUAAGAACAGCCUGCGUCCGAUUAGCUAGUUGGUGGGGUAAAGGCCUACCAAGGCGACGAUCGGUAGCUGGUCUGAGAGGAUGAUCAGCCACACUGGGACUGAGACACGGCCCAGACUCCUACGGGAGGCAGCAGUGGGGAAUAUUGGACAAUGGGGGCAACCCUGAUCCAGCAAUGCCGCGUGUGUGAAGAAGGCCUGAGGGUUGUAAAGCACUUUCAGUGGGGAGGAGGAUUGAUAGGUUAAGAGCUAAUUAAUUGGACG
rnacentral:rRNA from 1 species